CCUACGGGUGGCUGCAGUGUGGAAUAUUGGACAAUGGGCGAAAGCCUGAUCCAGCCAUGCCGCGUGUGUGAAGAAGGCCUUCGGGUUGUAAAGCACUUUCAGUGGGGAAGAAAGCCUUGGGGCUAAUACCCUCGAGGAAGGACAUCACCCACAGAAGAAGCACCGGCUAACUCCGUGCCAGCAGCCGCGGUAAUACGGAGGGUGCGAGCGUUAAUCGGAAUUACUGGGCGUAAAGCGCGCGUAGGCGGUCUGAUAAGCCGGUUGUGAAAGCCCCGGGCUCAACCUGGGAACGGCAUCCGGAACUGUCAGGCUAGAGUGCAGGAGAGGAAGGUAGAAUUCCCGGUGUAGCGGUGAAAUGCGUAGAGAUCAGGAGGAAUACCAGUGGCGAAGGCGGCCUUCUGGACUGACACUGACGCUGAGGUGCGAAAGCGUGGGUAGCAAACAGGAUUAGAUACCCGUGUAGUC
rnacentral:rRNA from 1 species